rnacentral:rRNA from 1 species
GACGAACGCUGGCGGCGUGCCUAAUACAUGCAAGUCGAACGCUUCUUUCCUCCCGAGUGCUUGCACUCAAUUGGAAAGAGGAGUGGCGGACGGGUGAGUAACACGUGGGUAACCUACCCAUCAGAGGGGGAUAACACUUGGAAACAGGUGCUAAUACCGCAUAACAGUUUAUGCCGCAUGGCAUUAGAGUGAAAGGCGCUUUCGGGUGUCGCUGAUGGAUGGACCCGCGGUGCAUUAGCUAGUUGGUGAGGUAACGGCUCACCAAGGCCACGAUGCAUAGCCGACCUGAGAGGGUGAUCGGCCACACUGGGACUGAGACACGGCCCAGACUCCUACGGGAGGCAGCAGUAGGGAAUCUUCGGCAAUGGACGAAAGUCUGACCGAGCAACGCCGCGUGAGUGAAGAAGGUUUUCGGAUCGUAAAACUCUGUUGUUAGAGAAGAACAAGGACGUUAGUAACUGAACGUCCCCUGACGGUAUCUAACCAGAAAGCCACGGCUAACUACGUG